GUACACUCCUGCGGGAGGCAGCAGUGGGGAAUUUUGGACAAUGGGCGAAAGCCUGAUCCAGCAAUGCCGCGUGCAGGAUGAAGGCCUUCGGGUUGUAAACUGCUUUUGUACGGAACGAAAAAGCUCCUUCUAAUACAGGGGGCCCAUGACGGUACCGUAAGAAUAAGCACCGGCUAACUACGUGCCAGCAGCCGCGGUAAUACGUAGGGUGCGAGCGUUAAUCGGAAUUACUGGGCGUAAAGCGUGCGCAGGCGGUUAUGUAAGACAGAUGUGAAAUCCCCGGGCUCAACCUGGGAACUGCAUUUGUGACUGCAUGGCUAGAGUACGGUAGAGGGGGAUGGAAUUCCGCGUGUAGCAGUGAAAUGCGUAGAUAUGCGGAGGAACACCGAUGGCGAAGGCAAUCCCCUGGACCUGUACUGACGCUCAUGCACGAAAGCGUGGGGAGCAAACAGGAUUAGAUACCCGAGUAGUCCCAUGA
rnacentral:rRNA from 1 species